rnacentral:sRNA from 1 species
ACUUCAACUUAUUUCUUUUUCCUUCUGUACUCUGAAAGAAAGUACCACAGACAUUGCAAGUACCACUAGAUGUGAGAUGUGACUACAUUGAUUGUAGAGUGGACUGUUACUAUAUUUAACUCAUUAGCACUUAUGAAUAAAACAGAAUGAUAUUCAAUAA